rnacentral:rRNA from 1 species
CUGGGACUGAGACACGGCCCAGACUCCUACGGGAGGCAGCAGUGAGGAAUAUUGGACAAUGGAUGGAAAUCUGAUCCAGCCAUGCCGCGUGCAGGAAGACGGCCUUAUGGGUUGUAAACUGCUUUUAUACGGGAGCAAUAAGGGUUACGAGUAAUCCGAUGAGAGUACUGUAUGAAUAAGGAUCGGCUAACUCCGUGCCAGCAGCCGCGGUAAUACGGAGGAUCCGAGCGUUAUCCGGAAUUAUUGGGUUUAAAGGGUGCGUAGGCGGCCAUUUAAGUCAGCGGUGAAAUUUUGCAGCUUAACUGUAACAGUGCCGUUGAUACUGUUUGGCUAGGAUUUGGUUGUAGUGUGCGGAAUGUGUGGUGUAGCGGUGAAAUGCUUAGAUAUCACACAGAACACCGAUUGCGAAGGCAGCACACUAAGUCAUUAUUGACGCUGAGGCACGAAAGUGUGGGGAUCAAACAGGAUUAGAUACCCUGGUAGUCCACACUGUAAACGAUGAUAACUCGCUGUCGGCGAUACACAGUCGGUGGCCAAGCGAAAGCAUUAAGUUAUCCACCUGGGGAGUACGACCGCAAGGUUGAAACUCAAAGGAAUUGACGGGGGCCCGCACAAGCGGAGGAACAUGUGGUUUAAUUCGAUGAUACGCGAGGAACCUUACCCGGGCUCGAACGGUGCAUGAAUAUACGAGAGAUUGUAUAGUCCUUCGGGACAUGUAUCGAGGUGCUGCAUGGUUGUCGUCAGCUCGUGCCGUGAGGUGUCGGCUUAAGUGCCAUGACGAGCGCAACCCUUGUCAUUAGUUGCCAUCAGGUCAAGCUGGGGACUUUAAUGAGACUGCCACCGUAAGGUGUGAGGAAGGGGGGGAUGACGUCAAAUCAGCACGGCCCUUAUGUCCGGGGCGACACACGUGUUACAAUGGGAGGUACAGAGGGCAGCUAUCCGGUGACGGAAUGCUAAUCUCCAAAACCUUUCUCAGUUCGGAUUGGAGUCUGCAACUCGACUCCAUGAAGGUGGAUUCGCUAGUAAUCGCGCAUCAGCCAUGGCGCGGUGAAUACGUUCCCGGGCCUUGUACACACCGCCCGUCAAG